GUAAAAUAUUAUCAAAGUUCAUAUUUUAUAUCAAUUUGAAAAAUAGUGGCAGCGUUUCUCGUUUAUGCAAUACCAUCAUAAAUGGCAAUCUAUUUACCACCUAGUAAAACGUGUCCUUGUUGAACCAGAGAAAUGGAGAUUCGAUACAAGUGAUAAAUGUAAAUUACUGUAAGUAACAUUACUUAAUGUACAUGUAUAGCUGAGAUCAAUUUAAUGUUGGGACGUAUGCGUAAGUAUGCCAUUUCGAAUUUAGAACAGUUUUGUAAAAUCGUUUCAACUGACUAACCUAAAUCACAAACUAAAAACCAAUUCUAACACAUCUUACUAUUUGGCUAUCACACUAAGAAAAAAAACUACCCUGCUGCACCACGUUCUAAUUCAACUAUCUUGCAGAUCUUCGUCAAACUCGGUGAACAUAAACAUGGCAUCCUGAGGAGCUGCGUAUCUUGCUACAGAAUCUGGUAAUGAAAAGAUUAAAUGGUAAUUGUCUAAAUAAACUAAUUCUGAGAUGGGCAACGAGCAAAGUGCAACGAUACAAGAUGAAGAAAUGAGACAGAGCUACAGUGACUUAAGACCUUCACCUCAAGAAUUGUGGGCAGUGCUUUCAAAAGUGCCGUAUUGCUCAUGCGAAUUUUCUGAAAAUUAAGAAGACAUUCAAUCAGAGCUGCAAAGAAAAAGAAGAGAAGUUCAUGCAAUUUUAUUAAAACAGCCAAGCGCUCCAGACUGAAAAUAAGCAUUUCCACCCACCCUUUAAUCUCCCUCAAAUAAAAAACAAAGUGAGCUCCUUUUAUCCUCAGCGUGCGAAAAGUAUUCUCCUAUUUUUUUAAAUUUUUUUGUGACUGCUGGUACCAAACUGGUAACAAAAGCGUAUUCGAGAAGGGGAGAGAUCGACGCGACACGUGGCGGAGAAAUAUGUAACUAACCUAAACGGGAUAAAUAAUAAGCAUUAUGGCUGAAUGUACGUUAAAUUCGUCCUCUUUAAAAAAAAUAAGAGCAAGAAUUAUUGUUGUGUGCCUCAGUGUUUCACUGGAUAUGAUACGAUACAUACAAAACACAAUUUAACCCCGUUUACACCGCCCAUUUUGUUUUGUGGUAGCGCCAUCUGUUAUCACUUCCCUUCUCGAAUUAGCACCUCUGAUUUGUUUGCAUUUGUUUCUGAAUUCAGAUCUGUGGAUAGGAUAUUAUUGGAUAUGCCCUUUCAAAUUUUGAAAAUUGUUUCCAAAAUUUCUACCCCAAGGAAGCACACCCUUGAACGAAUUUACCUUUGUAUGUUCUUUAGGUACAACAUUGAAAACCUACUAAUGAGUAAAAGACUCUUAAGUGAUAUGUGCAAAUUAUAUUUGUAGAUAAUUUGAAAGUGAAUAUUCGAUAAAAUCAACCUUCCAAAAAAUUUUUCAAACAGCGAACCAACCUGUUUCUUUUAUCUUUUUUUUAAAGAAAGUGUAACAAAGCACCCGUUAUUCGUCUUCACGUUUUUCGCCUUGACGUUUGCCAGUUUUAGUGAUCACUCUGUAGAUAAACACCCGGUAUCUAGAAGCGUUGUAAGUUGGGCGGUUUGUUACAAAAUGUUUCAUGCUGAGAGUAUUUGUGUUGGUUCUACGAAAUGAAGAUAAAUGAUUUAAUUUCUAGAGUUGUGUUUCCGACUGUGCCACCGUAAAUAUAGCUGCAAUUAAUUCGCCAUUUGCAACAAUUCCCGUCAAGUAAUUUCACUUACUUAUGUUGCGUCUGCAAGCUCGUAUCAUUUAGAUUUUAGAAGAAGACCAGGGCACAUAGAUAUUUUAUAAUUUCAGCCACGUUAAGCCAUUAUUAGCGGGUUUUUGUUUUAUAUGGUAAUUUAAAUCGAGCAUUAAAACUACAAGACCAUGCCAUGCAGGUUUACGCCGAUAUCAGUUUUGAUAAGCGACCUUUAUGUAGACCUGAGAAAUUUCAAUUAACAAUGAGCCUUACUGGACUACCAACUUUAGAAAUUUCAAGACGGCCAAAUAAAAAUGUCUAAAAUUGGCAGUUUUUAACCUAUAUCUAUCUACAUCUUACAUGGGUAGUAAGAUACAAUACCACCAAAAAGUCAAACUUUUCGCUUUCACCCUGUAUCUCAGAAACAAACGUAACUAGAUCGAUACUGUUUGUGGUAUUAAAAGUUUCACAAAAGAGUGGCACAGGGCCGCGAAACCGCAAGGGUCCAUCUUUAACAGCUGAGAUACACUGCAGUCCGCACUAAAAUAGGACACAUAGUACAUAGAAAUAGUCGGUAACAUGACCUUUCGGGAAGUACUGAUCAAUUCAUGGAAAAUGCGCUAAAGGCGAAAACCUUUUUUUCAUUUUUUAAAGAAUUAUUGGCAAAAUAAAAAAUAAAUAUUGGAAAAAGUAUUCCUGUCGAACUAAAACUGACAUAUCUCGGCGUUUAUUAGUAACUAGAAUUAAAUAGUGCAUAAAGCCUGAAACAAAUGAGACACGAAUAGACGAAUAUGAAUA